rnacentral:lncRNA from 1 species
ACACAUGAUCAAACCUCCAAAUACCUACGUCGUCCUGAACCGUCAGAUGUUCUGACACCUCCAUACAUUGCCAUUGACCUGAGCAUCCGCAGACAUCACCCGCACGAUCGGGGAAUGACACCUGCAUGAUCGCGGAACGACACUCCGACCUCGCGUAGUCGGAGACGUGCAUCGACCUUCACGAUCACGUAGUCGGAACAACACCCGCGAGCGUGAGGUCCGCGAUGUCGUGAGGUCUGUGAUCGAUUCCGAUUUCGAGGAAUCGCGAUUUCGCAAGGUCCCGCGAUAUAGUCGAAAUCGCGGACAUUCGAUUCGCAGCAAGCCGGUGAGGAGUGUCGUUAUGUUUCAUCGCGAUGUUGGGUUCUGUUUCAUCACGGUUAUGUUUUAUCACGAUGGGUUCCAUAACUCGCAAUGGGUUCUGUUUCACCGCAGAACCACCUUCCACUCGUGAUGGGUUCACGAUGGAUUCCGACAUCGCAGAUGGGUUCCGACAUCGCAGAUGGGUUCCGACAUCGCAGAUGGGUUCCAUCGCGAUUCACUUUGGAACUUCAUCGCAGAUACGGUUGCGUAUCGCGGACCACCGGAGACGUGCACAGUGAGAGCUCCGAUAGACUUGACACCAGCAUAAGAGAUGCCUGCCACCUCCAUCCUCCACGUCACCUAUGCGGUACCGCAGAAUCACCAUCGAGGUGAUUCCGCGAAGGCGGAAACGUGGUCUGCGGAACGACACCAUGGUUAAUCGUAAUUUCGUUCCACGAAAUGAUUUCGUUCCACGAAAUGAUUUCGUUCAGGAAACGACACCUCGUUCUCCAUCCUAUAUAAAAUAACGAUGGGUAUGUACGUCUGUUCCAUUGCGGAGUCCCACAAACCGGAGAGUGCACAGUGAGAACUUCGAUACGCUUGAGAGCAUAAGGAGACGAUUUCAAUUCGAUCAUCGCAAACAAAAAUCUGUAAAAACAAAUCAUAUACCGCUAUUUAUAAUAUAUAUAUAUAUAUUCAUACAUGAAUUUCAAAUCCGAAAGGGUUCCCAAAAUCGCUGGUAAUUGUCCACUCAAUGAAUUUGAAUAAAGAUCUCUGCAU